GUGAAAUUGAACUCGCUGUGAAGAUGCAGUGUACCCGCGGCAAGACGGAAAGACCCCGUGAACCUUUACUAUAGCUUGACACUGAACAUUGAGCCUUGAUGUGUAGGAUAGGUGGGAGGCUUUGAAGUGUGGACGCCAGUCUGCAUGGAGCCGGCCUUGAAAUACCACCCUUUAAUGUUUGAUGUUCUAACGUGGACCCGUGAUCCGGGUUGCGGACAGUGUCUGGUGGGUAGUUUGACUGGGGCGGUCUCCUCCUAAAGAGUAACGGAGGAGCACGAAGGUUGGCUAAUCCUGGUCGGACAUCAGGAGGUUAGUGCAAUGGCAUAAGCCAGCUUGACUGCGAGCGUGACGGCGCGAGCAGGUGCGAAAGCAGGUCAUAGUGAUCCGGUGGUUCUGAAUGGAAGGGCCAUCGCUCAACGGAUAAAAGGUACUCCGGGGAUAACAGGCUGAUACCGCCCAAGAGUUCAUAUCGACGGCGGUGUUUGGCACCUCGAUGUCGGCUCAUCACAUCCUGGGGCUGAAGUAGGUCCCAAGGGUAUGGCUGUUCGCCAUUUAAAGUGGUACGCGAGCUGGGUUUAGAACGUCGUGAGACAGUUCGGUCCCUAUCUGCCGUGGGCGCUGGAGAACUGAGGGGGGCUGCUCCUAGUACGAGAGGACCGGAGUGGACGCAUCACUGGUGUUCGGGUUGUCAUGCCAAUGGCACUGCCCGGUAGCUAAAUGCGGAAGAGAUAAGUGCUGAAAGCAUCUAAGCACGAAACUUGCCCCGAGAUGAGUUCUCCCUGAGACUUUAGGUCUCCUGAAGGAACGUUGAAGACGACGACGUUGAUAGGCCGGGUGUGUAAGCGCAGCGAUGCGUUGAGCUAACCGGUACUAAUGAACCGUGAGGCUUAACCUUACA
rnacentral:rRNA from 1 species